rnacentral:tRNA from 1 species
UGGGUUAUUGGCUCAGUGGCAGAGUGCUUGCCUCACACAUAUGAGGCACUGGGUUUGAUCCUCAGUACCACAU